CCGGCGCACGGGUGAGUAACACGUAUCCAACCUGCCGUCUACUCUUGGCCAGCCUUCUGAAAGGAAGAUUAAUCCAGGAUGGGAUCAUGAGUUCACAUGUCCGCAUGAUUAAAGGUAUUUUCCGGUAGACGAUGGGGAUGCGUUCCAUUAGAUAGUAGGCGGGGUAACGGCCCACCUAGUCAACGAUGGAUAGGGGUUCUGAGAGGAAGGUCCCCCACAUUGGAACUGAGACGCGGUCCAA
rnacentral:rRNA from 1 species